rnacentral:rRNA from 1 species
AGAGUUUGAUCCUGGCUCAGAUUGAACGCUGGCGGCAUGCCUUACACAUGCAAGUCGAACGCGAAAGCGGGGGCAACCCCGCAAGUAGAGUGGCGAACGGGUGAGUAAUACAUCGGAACGUGUCCAGUAGCGGGGGAUAACCUCUCGAAAGAGAGGCUAAUACCGCAUACGACCUACGGGUGAAAGAGGGGGAUCGCAAGACCUCUCACUAUUGGAGCGGCCGAUGUCGGAUUAGCUAGUUGGUGAGGUAAAGGCUUACCAAGGCGACGAUCCGUAGCUGGUCUGAGAGGACGACCAGCCACACUGGAACUGAGACACGGUCCAGACUCCUACGGGGGGCAGCAGUGGGGAAUUUUGGACAAUGGGGGAAACCCUGAUCCAGCCAUGCCGCGUGGGUGAAGAAGGCCUUCGGGUUGUAAAGCCCUUUCGGUGGGGACGAAACGGUGCGUGCUAACACCACGCACUACUGACGGUACCCACAGAAGAAGCACCGGCUAACUACGUGCCAGCAGCCGCGGUAAUACGUAGGGUGCAGGCGUUAAUCGGAAUUACUGGGCGUAAAGCGUGCGCAGGCGGUUUGCUAAGACAGGUGUGAAAUCCCCGAGCUUAACUUGGGAACUGCGCUUGUAACUGGCAAGCUAGAGUGUGGCAGAGGGGGGUGGAAUUCCACGUGUAGCAGUGAAAUGCGUAGAGAUGUGGAGGAACACCGAUGGCGAAGGCAGCCCCCUGGGCUAACACUGACGCUCAUGCACGAAAGCGUGGGGAGCAAACAGGAUUAGAUACCCUGGUAGUCC